rnacentral:rRNA from 1 species
UGGGGAAUAUUGGACAAUGGAGGCAACUCUGAUCCAGCAAUUCUGUGUGUGUGAAGAAGGUUUUAGGACUGUAAAACACUUUUAGUAGGGAAGAAAGAAAUGACGGUACCUACAGAAGAAGCAACGGCUAAAUACGUGCCAGCAGCCGCGGUAAUACGUAUGUUGCGAGCGUUAUCCGGAAUUAUUGGGCUUAAAGGGCAUCUAGGCGGUAAGACAAGUUGAAGGUGAAAACCUGUGGCUCAACCAUAGGCUUGCCUACAAAACUGUUGAACUAGAGUACUGGAAAGGUGGGUGGAACUACACGAGUAGAGGUGAAAUUCGUAGAUAUGUGUAGGAAUGCCGAUGAUGAAGAUAACUCACUGGACAGAAACUGACGCUGAAGUGCGAAAGCUAGGGGAGCAAACAGG